AGGGCAGGUAGGCUGCUGUGUCUGCAAAGCCCUCCAGGACUCCUUGCCCAGCUCUGCCCCCCUCCCCGCAGGGGCUGGUUCAGCAGCUCUGCAGUCUAUCCCAGGACAGGAAAAAAAGGAAAGUGAAGAGACUCAAGCUUUGUUCACCUCUCAUGUGCGAGAUCCUUGUCUCAAGGUCACCUUGAAAGUACAGAAGGAAACCAGGCACUUGUGUUCCAGCACAGCUCAGGGCUGGCUUGGUAAAAGAAUGCUGAGUCAUUGGACGACUGAGAGGCUAAAUUAAAAGGGAGUGUUAACAGUCUAUCACCUUCACCAUAGGCCUGGCCACUGAGAAAUUACACUUUCAAGGGCCAACUGCCGUCAAGUCUGGGGAUGUCUUUUGGCCGAAUCUGAAGGCUCCGGACUCAGGUGGUUAGGAAGACUGCGGCAGGGAGGGUU